AGAAGUGACUGUAGGUCUUACUUUGUAUCAGAGAAGAAUGAUAGUUAUAUUUUUCUUAUUCCAAAUUGUGUGUUAUUGUGAAACUUCAAAUUUUACAAGAGAAGAAACUUUGCGUGAACUGUUUAAAAAUUACGACUCUACAAUUCCUCCAACAUUUAACGAUGAUGAACCGGUUAAAGCACUUGUUCAGUUGUACAUUCUAGGUAUAGACUCCGUUAGUGAUUC